UACGUAGGCAGCAAGCGUUGUUCGGAAUUACUGGGCGUAAAGAGUGUGUAGGCGGUGCUCUAAGUUCGGUGUGAAAUCUCCUGCUCAACUGGGAGGGUGCGCCGGAAACUGGGGUGCUGGAGCGCGGGAGAGGAAAGCGGAAUUCCUGGUGUAGCGGUGAAAUGCGUAGAAUAUCAGGAGGAACACCGGCGGUGUAGACGGCUUUCGUGG
rnacentral:rRNA from 1 species